rnacentral:rRNA from 1 species
GACAGAGGUGCCGAGCGUUAGGCGGAAUCACUGGGCUUAAAGCGUGUGUAGGCGGACUUCUAAGUACCUUGUGAAAUCCCCCGGCUCGACCGGGGAACUGCUUGGUAUACUGGUUGUCUUGAGCCACUUAGGGGCAGUCGGAACAGACGGUGGAGCGGUGAAAUGCGUAGAUAUCGUCUGGAACGCCAAAGGUGAAAACAGACUGCUGGGAGUGUGCUGACGCUGAGACACGAAAGCCAGGGGAGCAAACGGG